AAUGCGAUAAGUAGUGUGCAUUGCAGAAUUCAGUGAAUCAUCGAAUCUUUGAACGCACAUUGCGCCCUUUGGUAUUCCAAAGGGCAUGCCUGUUCGAGCGUCAUUUGUACCCUCAAGCUUUGCUUGGUGUUGGGCGUCUUGUCUCCAGUUCGCUGGAGACUCGCCUUAAAGUAAUUGGCAGCCGGCCUACUGGUUUCGGAGCGCAGCACAAGUCGCGCUCUCUUCCAGCCAAGGUCAGCAUCCACAAAGCCUUUUUUCAACUUUUGACCUCGGAUCAGGUAGGGAUACCCGCUGAACUUAAGC
rnacentral:misc_RNA from 1 species